UUACUCCACUUCUUUUUUCCCCAUGUUUUGAAAUUUGAUCAGUUGAUUAGAAGAACAAACCAAUUGGAAAAGGGAACAGGGAAACGUUCCCUACACCCCAAACGUUAACCCAUUUUGGUUCCAGGUACUACUUUAUAUUUCUCUUUUUUAGAGGUUUUUUUUUUAUGAAAAAAUGAUGUAUGUCUCUAUUUCUUUUUAUGGCCUGCAUCAAUUCUUAUGAAAUGAGGUUAGUGUUGGAUAGUAGCACGGUUUUCGUUCAGUCAUUAUAGAUGACUGAUUAUGGACUAAUACAAUUGUCGAUUGUUGAUUACGAAAAGUUUAAACAAAAAAUUAGUUUCUUAUUCGGCAAGAUUCUACCCGUUUUUAUGGACCAAUAGAAUUGUCGAUUGUUGACACCAUUUGUUUGACUCCCUUGUGUGUGCCCAGAAUUACAAGAUGAAUAGUGAGAAUGAAAUUAAGCUGGUUUCAGUGACUAAACAAGUGGAUACGCAUGAGGAUGUUCAAGCUGUAGUCGAAGAGCAAAAUAUACAAAUUAACCCACAGAUUGGUAAGCAUUCUAGCUACAAAGACUAAACUGUGAUUUUUAGUCUACUUACAUUGAUAAAAUUAUGGUUUCAGUGAAUGAGCAAGUAGAGACGCAUGAAGAUGCUAAAGUCGUAGUUGAAGAGCAAAAUAUCACUUUAUUUAUCGUGAUCAAAUUUAUUCAUUUGUGGUCUAUUAAAAUUUGUAGGAUUGGAAUGAAAAGAGAAGAUACAACAAGACUACUUCGAUGGGGAUAUCAUUAUAAGGUUAUUGCACGAAAAAUAGUUAGCUUCAUUGUAGGAUUGGAAUGAAAGAGAAGAUACAACAACACUACUUCAAUGGGGAUAUCAUAAUAAGCAGAUUGCAUUGGCUAACUAGUAACAAAUACCAAGUUGGUUGGAGCUUGAAGCUUAGAAAGUCUACAACUUUGUUAUCAAUGAUUCAGUAGAAGUGGAAUUAUAUUUUUAUAUUCAAUUCAAGGGUUGAUUAUGUUU